UCUGUACGGCUUUCAGGCAACACGCAGCCUCUUGAAUUAAAAGCCUGCAGAAGAAAACGCGAAAAACAAAAGAAAAUUAAUUUGCAAGAUCAAUAAUUACUCUGUGACAUCCGUUAUUUGGUUCGCGUGACGUCACGAGCUGUCAAGGGAAAGAGAUGGGUGAUCAGAGCGAGACAGCACGUGCUCAAAAAUAUGCUAAUGGCGGCCCUUGACACGGCACCUCAAGACAUCAUUAUACGAAACAAUGCAUUAUGGCACACGUAGACACGUGUUCACUAAUGUGUAAUUAGUGUGCGUGAGCCACAGAGCAAGAGUUAUGGUACCAACAAGGAUUAGAUAGCGGUCAUUAAUGGAACAUUAAAUAUGUAAAUUGU